rnacentral:rRNA from 1 species
GACGAACGCUGGCGGCGUGCUUAACACAUGCAAGUCGAACGGUAAGGCCCUUCGGGGUACACGAGUGGCGAACGGGUGAGUAACACGUGGGUGAUCUGCCCUGCACUUCGGGAUAAGCCUGGGAAACUGGGUCUAAUACCGGAUAGGACCCUGGGAUGCAUGUCCUGGGGUGGAAAGCUUUUGCGGUGUGGGAUGGGCCCGCGGCCUAUCAGCUUGUUGGUGGGGUGAUGGCCUACCAAGGCGACGACGGGUAGCCGGCCUGAGAGGGUGACCGGCCACACUGGGACUGAGAUACGGCACAGACUCCUACGGGAGGCAGCAGUGGGGAAUAUUGCACAAUGGGCGCAAGCCUGAUGCAGCGACGCCGCGUGAGGGAUGACGGCCUUCGGGUUGUAAACCUCUUUCAGCACCGACGAAGCGCAAGUGACGGUAGGUGCAGAAGAAGGACCGGCCAACUACGUGCCAGCCGCCGCAGUAACAC